AGGACGAACGCUGGCGGCGUGCUUAACACAUGCAAGUCGAACGAGGCCCGUCCUUCGGGGCGGUGUCCUAGUGGCGAACGGGUGAGUAACACGUGGGCAACCUGCCCUCAGCUCUGGGAUAACUCCAAGAAAUUGGGGCUAAUACCGGAUAUGACUGCUGACCGCAUGGUCUGGUGGUGGAAAGAUUUAUCGGCUGAGGAUGGGCCCGCGGCCUAUCAGCUUGUUGGUGGGGUAGUGGCCCACCAAGGCGACGACGGGUAGCCGGCCUGAGAGGGUGACCGGCCACACUGGGACUGAGACACGGCCCAGACUCCUACGGGAGGCAGCAGUGGGGAAUAUUGCGCAAUGGGCGAAAGCCUGACGCAGCGACGCCGCGUGGGGAUGACGGCCUUCGGGUUGUAAACCGUCUUUCAGCAGGACGAAGCGAAAGUGACGGUACCUGCAGAAGAGCACCGGCCAACUACGUGCCGACGCACGCCGC
rnacentral:rRNA from 1 species